rnacentral:rRNA from 1 species
GAUGAACGCUGGCGGCGUGCCUAAUACAUGCAAGUCGAGCGAACGGACGAGAAGCUUGCUUCUCUGAUGUUAGCGGCGGACGGGUGAGUAACACGUGGAUAACCUACCUAUAAGACUGGGAUAACUUCGGGAAACCGGAGCUAAUACCGGAUAAUAUUAUGAACCGCAUGGUUCAAAAGUGAAAGACGGUCUUGCUGUCACUUAUAGAUGGAUCCGCGCUGCAUUAGCUAGUUGGUAAGGUAACGGCUCACCAAGGCAACGAUGCAUAGCCGACCUGAGAGGGUGAUCGGCCACACUGGAACUGAGACACGGUCCAGACUCCUACGGGAGGCAGCAGUAGGGAAUCUUCCGCAAUGGGCGAAAGCCUGACGGAGCAACGCCGCGUGAGUGAUGAAGGUCUUCGGAUCGUAAAACUCUGUUAUUAGGGAAGAACAUAUGUGUAAGUAACUGUGCACAUCUUGACGGUACCUAUCAGAAAGCCACGGCUAACUACGUG